rnacentral:rRNA from 1 species
UACGUAGGGUGCAAGCGUUGUCCGGAAUUAUUGGGCGUAAAGAGCUCGUAGGCGGUUUGUUGCGUCGGCUGUGAAAUCCCGAGGCUCAACCUCGGGUCUGCAGUCGAUACGGGCAUGACUGGAGUUCGGCAGGGGAGACUGGAAUUCCUGGUGUAGCGGUGAAAUGCGCAGAUAUCAGGAGGAACACCGGUGGCGAAGGCGGGUCUCUGGGCCGAUACUGACGCUGAGGAGCGAAAGCGUGGGGAGCGAACAGG